rnacentral:lncRNA from 1 species
AACUUUUAGUCUAGCACUUAGAUGCAAGUACUGAACAAGAACUAAAUAUAAUCACUAAACAAGAAUUAAAUAAAAAACUAAACAAGAACUAAAGAAAAGUGCUAGAAUAACAACUAAUAAAAUAGGAUGCAGUGUUAUUCAAACCACUGAAUAUUACAUAGGACUAUUUCCCCCAAAUACGGUGUAGGAAACUUGUUAAGUUCAUCCUGGUGUAAAGAUAUCCCAAAGGUUGGUGGCUGGUAAAGGAAAUUAUCGGAGGAAGACAUUGGGAGCAAUACACACGCUGAGCAUUUCCUGGCACGUUGAUAAAAGCCUUAUGUGUUUUGUUCCUCCUCCAACGUCGAUGAGCUUUGUCCUCUGACUAAAGACACUGAUUGUUGUAUGAACAAAGCCAAUACGGUCAGUGGAGACACGCGUAGUUGAUAAAUACAGCCUGCUGCAGUCCUCGCUGUGUAAUGUAUUGGAUUAGGCUCGGAGUAAUGUUUAUAAGGCUUUAAAAGGAAACCAUUAAAAUAUAGUUGAACAUGUCCUGUUGCUAGAUGAGAAAUCAUCAAACUGUAAAAUGUGGAAAGAAUUCACGAAAGAAGACAAAUUAAUGUCAAGCUUCUACGAUUCAGCAAAUGCAAGCUUAUCUGUGAGAAACCCAUUAUGUAGGCCAUCUAGGCAGAGUGUACGAGACACCACACUUACGCCAAUGCUAUGAAGAAAUAAACUUCAGAAGCCUACCGAGAGGAUGAUAGUGGAAACUAUAUUUUUGUGGACUUAUAUGUAGCACAACAAUUCUUCUUAGAAUAGUAGCCUAUAUUAAGCUCUUAUCGUCACUAUCAAAUUUAAUGUGACAUAUAGCUGUGAUUUGUCCAUAUAUGGGUAUGAAAUGGCAUCAUCAUGUCUAUAUAUGGAUAUGAUAUGACAUCAUCAUGCGUAUUUAUUGAUAAUUCACACACAUUUGUCACAUAAAACAUAGUGUGGGUAGUUUUAAGUGUUAACUUUUUCAUAGUCCACUACAAUGCUUUGGCCUGCGUAGAUCAAUAAUUUGCUGACAUAAUAUGUAGCUCACAGGAAAAAGGACUUUUUCAACAAACUUUUUUUUUACUUGACCUUACACAUUAUAUUUUUUUGUUUUGUUUGUAGUUUUUCACUCCCAAGCGAAAAACAAGUGUUCCACUAUUGCACGUCAGUGGGCAGGGCUGCCAAAAGCAGAGCAGUGGUGAUGCCAGGGGGGGGGGGGCAUUUGUCAUCAGACCAAAAGUAAAAAUAAACAAUAAUUUGCCUAUCCAAAUAACGCUAUUUUGGUUGCAAAUCCCUAAUAUUAUGGUCUGAAAGCACAUUUAGGACCAAAGUAAGACAUAAAAACUCUCUAUAUGAAACCCAACAGGGAUUUUUUUUUUAUUCCAAGCCACUGACCGAGGCUUCGUCGUCGCCUUGGUUUGGACCCCUAAAUUGGACACGUUGGACCCCUUGUCUGCAAAUUUCUGGUGCCUCAGCUGGCCCAGGAAAUGAGAAUGUUAUAAUUGAUGUUGACAAUAAAGACCAACAUAAUUUUACCAUGGAGGAUCCAUGAUUUUACUGAGGCAUAAUUUGGAAAAAAUUUCAAUGAGAAUUUAUUGGCACAAAUGGUCUUUUACUUCAUACCUUGCAUCCUUAUUUGUGAAUGCAACCUAAAUAUAGCUUUUGUGGCUCUGUUUUCACUGGUUGUGUGAAAACUAGCUUGCGUACGUAUUGAGCAGAAAGCAUUGCAUAUUCUGACACAUUAAGUUUUUUAAUGACCUGAAAUUGUGAUUUUGCAGGGGUGGAUCCAGAGAUGUCCGAAAGAGGGGUCCAGAAGGGGGGCCAAAAGUGGGGCCGAUCAAGAUAAUAAUACUCUAGGCAGUCCGGGGAACUUUCUGUGUUGUAGACGCCCGUAAAUAAUCUCUGAGGCCUUUUGGGUGAUCAAUUUUUCUUUUUUAAUUUUCCUUUUUCUUUUUUAUUUUUUUGACUUUCCAAAAGGGGGAGGCCCCAGGCUGGGUGGGCCCCCCUUGGAUCCGCGCCUGUUUUGCAUGGUUAUUUUUCAUAAACUUGCAUAUUUUACAUUAAAUGGUAUUUUUUUUUUAGAUCAGAAUUUCAAUUAGAUAUUUCAUUACUUCAUCUCUAAAUUAAUUAUGACAAUUCAUAAAAAAUAAUACUUGAUCAGUGAAAGUGAUAGCUUUAUGCAUUUUAUGUCAUAAAUAUACUCUAAAGCCAUAAAUGAUUUUAUUUCAUACUCAGGCUUACUACUUGAAAUAUAUGGCACAAAAUGGAAAUAUCUACCUUAAUCAUAAUGAAUAAUACGAUACAUGGUUCAUUUGAUGUUGCUAAUAAGAUUGGAAGGAAAUAUUCACCUUUGAAUAUGGCAUGCAAACUUAGCCGGAUGCAUAAAUUCGCAACACAGUGUGUAAAAUAAAUGUACUGUAGAUUGAGGCAAUGCAGUGGUUUUCAUUAUUUUUAGCUUGAAAAUUCAACAUCAGUUUUGCCCUAUAGGACUAAAAAAAAAAAAAAAAAUCAGCAAAAUUACGCAUCCAGAACCCGAUUCAGUGGCAGAUCCAGGAAUUUGCAAUAGAGGGGCCCAGGGAGGGGACCUUCACACAUAUAGGGUCUAUGAACCCCAACCACACCAUGGUUAGGGCUGAGGUAUGAAAAAUUACUCACUCAAAGACUUAAAUUUGAAUAUAUAAUUUUAUUUAUUUAUUCAUUUAAAAAAAAAUAAUUUUGAGAAUUUUUUUUCUUUUUUUGGGGGGGGGGGGCGACUGGACCUCUUUGAAUCCGCCACUGCAUUUAAUAAACAGGUGCACAACUACCUUAAUUACAAAUAUAUAAACAAAUUUAACUGAACUACUUAUAAUCAGUUGCGGUUCUAGUGGAAGGGGCAGGGUAAGUAACCACUGGCUAAUACUGAUUAAACAUUUAUCUUCUAAAAAAUUAUUUGCCUAUGUUCUAAUAAUCAGAACUGCUGAAUAUGACCAAAAUUUUACCAGUUUCCUCUCCCCUUCCCUGAUUAGAUUUAUAUCCUUAAGCUACUGCUAGUAAUAAUCCAGUUAAUAACACAAUAAUUAUAAUAGGAUUAGGCCUUAACAAAAUGGCAAAGAUGUGAUAAUUUGAAUACUAAUGGUCCCUAGACUGAAAUCUGCUUUUUAGUAAGUGUCAGAGCAUUACCACAACACUGCUUUCAACCUGCUUUUAAUAAGUAUAGCUUUUUAUGUGUCUGUGGAUAUUAAUUAAAAGAGGUAGUCAAGUAGAAGUAAACUAUGUACUGGCAGGUACAGCACUGCCUAGUUUUUAAAAUUUUAAAUGGUGUCAUUAAUAACUAGGUUCCCUAAUUGCACUAAUGGCAUUAAUACCUGUACUUUGAACUUGGGCAGACAGAAUCAUACAAAAUAAAUGCAUAUUUUUGGUUUUAAAUUUAUUCAUAUUUGCUUGUUGUAUCCUGUGGCUAGUAAGUAUAGACUUAGAGUCUGAGUCAGUAAUAGGCCAUCUAUAUGCAUCUAACCCUAUCUAUGAAAGAGCAAUAAAACUAAAUUGAAAUAUGAUAUUUCAUUUUACCUUUACUUUCCCAAAUUCAAUUUCUUUAGUAAUACUAUUUAACAUUCAUGAUUGUCCUGUCUGUGUUGGUAUAUCUAGCUAGAAUGUCAUGGAAAGAAGCAGAUGGAGAGGGGUGCAAAAAAUGUGUCAGGGUCGCUGGGGUAAUGAGGUGGUUUUUUACUGCUUUAAUGUCAUACUAUCUGCUUAGUAAGUUUACAGAGGGGGAGGGAUGCAAAAAACCUUUUUCUGCAGCAUGCUACAAAUCAUCUCAGAUAAUUCUAUAUAUAGUCAUUUAAAAGAUCAAAACAUUAAUAAACUUUCAAUAAUAUACUUAAGCCUCCCCACCCCUCACCCCAUUGGACAGGUCAAGCCACCUUCCACUGGCCAAAGCUCGUCAGGCAGUUGGACUAAAAAAAUAAAAAAAAAAUAGGCCCACACCAAGCCAACAUGUCAGUCACAGUCAACAUGUCAGUCCAGCCAUCUGGAGGUCUCUAUUUAAAACAAAAAUAUCAUUAUGGAGGGGGGGGGGGAAUGGACACCCCAUCCCAGAUUCUCCCCCAGCUCGGACAUACAGCCCUCGGAUGGUGCUGGGCGCCAAAAUUAUCCUUAUCUCAAUCAGUUCCCCGUCGGAUAGCUUAGCCCCCACCCCCCAAAAAAAAGUACAUGCUACAGUCGUCACUGAUCGAGACAUAAGACAGGCACUCACUGCAUUGUACGACGAAACGAACUCCGCUCCCUGUGAGCGAUACACGACACGACGCCGUCUGUCCUUGGCAGUCUGAAAAGAUCGUCAUUAAAAAUGGAUUCGUUGUGCAUGCGUCGUGUCAUUGUGUUUUCCAUAGAAUCGCGUCGGCAUAAUCCUUUAUAAUCACUGAAAUAGGGUGGUACAGUAAAGCUCUUAUUUCUGUGUAUACCAGAUUUGGUUUUAUUGGCAUUGCAUAAUUUAUGUGAUAAUCUUAUCAAUCUUUAUACAAAAGUCAAGAGUAUUCCGGAGGAAACCAUCCAAGUUGAUCUGAGAUGGUUUGUUGCAAAAGAGGAUUUCCUCCAUCAUUUUAAUCAAAAACCUCAGUCAAGACCACACUUUUGUUUUAUAAGAACCAGUACAAGUUUGCCCAGGCUCAGUGUUCUUAUUUUGUUGCAAAUUCAGGCUCAAACUGUUCGUAUUUCGUUCUUAUUUUACGCACUUUUCAAAGAUACUGGUAGAACAUUUUUAUUAUUUUACCAUCUAUUAAUAGACAGUAUAACAUAGGAGUAUAUAAUGUUGAAACACAGUAACUUUUUUUAAACAUUAAUACGUUAUUGUAUGUGACUAACCUGAUAUGUUGGCUUUUCAGUUUUUUAAUAAAAACCUCAUUUGACAUUUUA